rnacentral:rRNA from 1 species
GCUGUCCUUAGUACGAGAGGACCGGGAUGGACACACCGCUGGUGUACCAGUUGUUCCGCCAGGAGCAUAGCUGGGUAGCUACGUGUGGACGGGAUAAGCGCUGAAAGCAUCUAAGCGUGAAGCCCCCCUCAAGAUGAGAUUUCCCAUUACGUUAAGUAAGUAAGACCCCUUAGAGAUGAUGAGGUUGAUAGGUCUCGGGUGGAAGCGUGGCGACACGUGGAGCUGAGAGAUACUAAUCGGUCGAGGGCUUAUCCAAAA